rnacentral:rRNA from 1 species
AUUGAACGCUGGCGGCAGGCUUAACACAUGCAAGUCGAGCGGGGGAGGUUGCUUCGGUAACUGACCUAGCGGCGGACGGGUGAGUAAUGCUUAGGAAUCUGCCUAUUAGUGGGGGACAACAUCUCGAAAGGGAUGCUAAUACCGCAUACGUCCUAUGGGAGAAAGCAGGGGACCUUCGGGCCUUGCGCUAAUAGAUGAGCCUAAGUCGGAUUAGCUAGUUGGUGGGGUAAAGGCCUACCAAGGCGACGAUCUGUAGCGGGUCUGAGAGGAUGAUCCGCCACACUGGGACUGAGACACGGCCCAGACUCCUACGGGAGGCAGCAGUGGGGAAUAUUGGACAAUGGGCGGAAGCCUGAUCCAGCCAUGCCGCGUGUGUGAAGAAGGCCUUUUGGUUGUAAAGCACUUUAAGCGAGGAGGAGGCUACUGGUAUUAAUACUACCGGAUAGUGGACGUUACUCGCAGAAUAAGCACCGGCUAACUCUGUGCCAGCAGCCGCGGUAAU